GACGAACGCUGGCGGCGCGCUUAACACAUGCAAGUCGAGCGAAGCGGCGGACGGGUGAGUAACACGUGAGUAACCUGCCUUAGACAUUGGGAUAGCCUCGGGAAACCGGGAUUAAUACCAAAUGGUCUAAGAUGGACUCGCGUGCCAUUAGCUAGUUGGUGGGUAACGGCCCACCAAGGCGACGAUGGCUAGCCGGGCUGAGAGAGUGAACGGACACAUUGGAGCUGAGAACCGGUCCAAAAUCUACGGGAGGGAGCCGUGUGGAAUAUAGCACAAUGGAGGGAACUCUGAUGCAGCGACGCCGGGUAAACGAAGAUGGCAUUCGAGUCGUAAAGUUCUUUUAUAUGGGAGUCGGUACCAUAAGAAAAAGCCCCGGCUAACUACGUGCCAGCAGCCGCGGUAAUUC
rnacentral:rRNA from 1 species